rnacentral:rRNA from 1 species
UAAGGUAGCAUAAUAACUUGUCUUUUAAUUAAAGAAUAGUAUGAAUGGAUAAACGUGAAUUUUUCUGUCUCUUUUUUAUAUAUUUGAAAUUAAUUUUUAAGUGAAAAAGCUUAAAUUAUUAUAAAAGACAAGAAGACCCUAUCAAUUUUUAAUAAUUUUUUUUAUUUUUGAAAACCUUAUUUUAGUUGGGGCAAUUGGAAAGGAAAAUAAUCUUUCUUUUUUUUCAUACAUAUAAGUAUCAUCCAGUUUUACUGAAAAAUAAAAUAAAUACUGUAGGGAUAACAGCACUAUUUUAUUUUGAAGUUCUUAUUUAAAAUAAAGUUUGUGACCUCGAUGUUGGAUUAAGGUAACUUUUAGGUGCAGGAGCUUAAUAAAGUUGGACUGUUCGUCCAUUAAAACCUUACAU